rnacentral:rRNA from 1 species
AAUCAACGCUGGCGGCGUGCCUCAGACAUGCAAGUCGAACGAUUAAAGCUCUCUUCGGAGAGUGUAUAGAGUGGCGCACGGGUGAGUAACACGUAAGUAAUCUACCUUUGAGUGGGGAAUAACCCGGGAAACCCGAGCUAAUACCGCAUAAUAGCAGCGGCACCGCCAAGGUGACAGUUGUUAAAGGAGCAAUCCGCUUAAAGAGGAGCUUGCGGCAGAUUAGCUAG